GCCUGAUGCAGCGACGCCGCGUGAGGGAUGGAGGCCUUCGGGUUGUAAACCUCUUUCGCCAGUGAAGUAGGCCUGUCCCUUGUGGGUGGGUUGACGGUAGCUGGAUAAGAAGCGCCGGCUAACUACGUGCCAGCAGCCGCGGUAAUACGUAGGGCGCGAGCGUUGUCCGGAAUUAUUGGGCGUAAAGAGCUCGUAGGCGGCUGGUCGCGUCUGUCGUGAAAUCCUCUGGCUUAACUGGGGGCUUGCGGUGGGUACGGGCCGGCUUGAGUGCGGUAGGGGAGACUGGAACUCCUGGUGUAGCGGUGGAAUGCGCAGAUAUCAGGAAGAACACCGGUGGCGAAGGCGGGUCUCUGGGCCGUUACUGACGCUGAGGAGCGAAAGCGUGGGGAGCGAACAGGAUUAGAUACCCUGGUAGUCCACGCCGUAAACGUUGGGCACUAGGUGUGGGGGGCCUUUUCCGGGUCUUCCGCGCCGUAGCUAACGCAUUAAGUGCCCCGCCUGGGGAGUACGGCCGCAAGGCUAAAACUCAAAGGAAUUGACGGA
rnacentral:rRNA from 1 species